UACGGAGGGUGCGAGCGUUGUCCGGAAUCACUGGGCGUAAAGGGCGCGUAGGUGGCGCGGCAAGUCAACGGUGAAAGCUCGACGCUCAACGUCGAGUCGGCCGUCGAUACUGCUGGGCUUGAGCACUGUAGAGGCAGAUGGAAUUCCGGGUGUAGCGGUGGAAUGCGUAGAGAUCCGGAAGAACACCGGUGGCGAAGGCGGUCUGCUGGGCAGUAGCUGACACUGAG
rnacentral:rRNA from 1 species